rnacentral:rRNA from 1 species
UACAGAGGUCUCAAGCGUUGUUCGGAAUCACUGGGCGUAAAGGGUGCGUAGGCUGCGGAGAAAGUCUGGUGUGAAAUUUGUGAGCUCAACUCGCAACUAGCACCCGAUACUACUUUGCUAGAGAUCUGGAGAGGAGCUUGGAAUUCUCGGUGUAGCAGUGAAAUGCGUAGAUUUCGAGAAGAACGCUCGCUGCGAAAGCGAAGCUCUGGCCAGCAUCUGACGCUGAGGCACGAAGGCUAGGGGAGCAAACAGG